UACGUAGGUGGCAAGCGUUGUCCGGAUUUAUUGGGUUUAAAGGGUGCGUAGGUGGUCGAUUAAGUCAGUGCUGAAAUAUCCCAGCUUAACUGGGAGGGUGGCAUUGAUACUGAUUGACUUGAGUGGAGUUGAGGUAGGCGGAAUUGACGGUGUAGCGGUGAAAUGCUUAGAUAUCGUCAAGAACACCGAUAGCGAAGGCAGCUUACCAAGCUCUAACUGACACUGAUGCACGAAAGUGUGGGGAUCAAACAGG
rnacentral:rRNA from 1 species